UACGGAGGGUGCAAGCGUUAUCCGGAUUCACUGGGUUUAAAGGGUGCGUAGGUGGGUUGGUAAGUCCGUGGUGAAAUCUCCGAGCUUAACUCGGAAACUGCCGUGGAUACUAUCAAUCUUGAAUACUGUGGAGGUAAGCGGAAUAUGUCAUGUAGCGGUGAAAUGCUUAGAUAUGACAUAGAACACCAAUUGCGAAGGCAGCUCACUACACGAAUAUUGACACUGGGGCACGAAAGCGUGGGGAUCAAACAGG
rnacentral:rRNA from 1 species